rnacentral:rRNA from 1 species
UACGAAGGGGGCUAGCGUUGCUCGGAAUCACUGGGCGUAAAGCGCACGUAGGCGGCCUCUUAAGUCGGUGGUGAAAUCCUGGAGCUCAACUCCAGAACUGCCUUCGAUACUGAGAGUCUCGAGUCCGGGAGAGGUGAGUGGAACUGCGAGUGUAGAGGUGAAAUUCGUAGAUAUUCGCAAGAACACCAGUGGCGAAGGCGGCUCACUGGCCCGGUACUGACGCUGAGGUGCGAAAGCGUGGGGAGCAAACGGG